rnacentral:rRNA from 1 species
AAUUUACUAAUACUAUAUUAUUUUUUUUCUUUUAAUUUAUAGUACUGUUGAAAAUAACAGUUUUUCUUUUAAGACUAAAAGACCCUAGAAUUUUUAUAAUAGUUUUUCAUUAUUUGUUUGGGGUAAUAUAAUAACAAAAAUAAA